GACUGGCUGUCUCCCAGCAGGGUGAGAGGAAGUUCUGUGCACUUCAAUUGCUGCAAUGACUUGAUCCUGCCAGAAACCCAGGGAGACAUCCCAAGCCAGCGCUGCCUGAUGCUGGCUGUGUGCUUUGCCGAGUCUCCUCACCCACUGCAAUCUCUACUACUUUAUCUCUAAAAUGUCAGCAAGAGUUUGCCCUUUAGCUGAGUGCGUGCUGCGUGCAAGGCUGAACCACGUGCGAGUUAAGACAGCAUCCAUCCCCAUAGGAGAAGAUACAGCACGGUGCGAUGUGCUGUUUAUGUCUGGAAGCCUGAGACACUCUGCUCCACAAAAGCAAGGAAUUCUGCACCUCCCAAUGCACUGGAGUAGAGUCAAGGCGAGGACUAUUCGACCUGGCUUUUUAACCCAGGACAAGCUCAUGAAAAAGAUGAAAGGGAAAUUUUCUGACAAGUCAAGCAUCAAGGACCUCCCCCACCCUUCUGCUGGGUUUUCGGGGACACCACCCUGAAAAGGAGAUUCACGGGCAGGAAGAUAUUUGAGCCAAACAGAGCAUCACCUAAGAACAAGUAAAAGAAGCAAGACUCAGAGAGGUGGGAACCACAGCACCAUUGUCAUGGGAACCACAAUGUGACAACUCCAGAACAAAGUAUUCUUUCCUCCAGCAUCAAAGCAUAAGUCUUAGGUAAGUAUUUAUUGGUGCAGAGUGCCUGACCUUUAAUCUAACUACCAAGACCAGGUCAAGAGUAAUUGUGACUAGCCACAAAUUAGAUGACCCCACCUACCAAUAAAAACAGUUAUUGGAGCCAGCAGUAUGGCUCAAUGGCUACAAACACUUGCCACCAAGCCUGGACCUGAGUUCAAUCCCUGGAAUCCACAUGGUGAGAAGAAAGAACCAACUCCCUUAAAUUGUCCUCUGACUUUUAGACAGACUCUAUGGUAUGCACAUACCUGCUCCCCAACACUAAUUAAAUAAAUGCAAAAGAAAUUAGAAACUUAAAAAAAAAAAAAAAAA
rnacentral:lncRNA from 1 species